UCCACUAUUCCGGAGGCAUGCCUGUUUGAGCGUCGUC
rnacentral:rRNA from 1 species